AACAUCAGCCAUCAAUGAGUAACGUAAAUCAUGUGAAUGUUACCACAACAUCUCGACAUACCACAAACUUACCUGUGGUGUGAUAACGAGGUAGCAUUACAAUGGAUCAGGAAUAAUAAUUCCAAACUUCCAUAAUUAUGUCAUGAACAGAGUAAAUGAAAUCUGUGAAUUACAGCGAAAGUAUAACUUCAGACAUGUGGAGACUAAAGCUAACCCAACAGAUUUGCUGAGUCGAGGUGUGUCACUACAGGAGCUAGUAAAGCGGACACUAUGGUUUCGAGGCCCCGAGUGGCUCACCAACGAAACCCAAUGGCCCAAUGGCCGCAACAAAAGCCAUCUGAGUAAAGAAGUCAGUGUAACUCAAGCAGAUGUUGAGUCAGUCGCUUCUGAGACAUAACUAAAUUUUCAUCGCUGCGAAAAUUGAUCAGAGUCACGGAGUUUGACACAAGGAUUGGUGGCCUGACCUUCACCGAGCAGUUCCUCAGCAUCAGCACGGCGCUGCCCAGCAAGAAUGCGUACGGCCUCAGGGAGAACGCACACGACUCCUUCCGACACGUGAUGGACGGCUCAGUGUGGCGGCUCUUCUCCCGAGACGAGGGACCCGUGCCACAGGCCGGAAAGCAAGUGAACCUGUAUGGGUGCAUCCGUUCUACCAGUGUGUGGAGAACGACGGGCGAGCCCACGGCGUGCUGCUCCUCAACAGCAACGCCAUGGGUGAGCACAGAGUGGCAGAGUGACACAGCACUCUACACGCAGCCUUGGUGUGUAGUGAAGCUGAUUAUGUAACAUAGAAAUCAACCAACUUUUGGGUAAUGGCACCUGUGGGUGAAGGUAAUCAAUGCACACCUGUUCUGCGGUGGCUCUUCACUACUUUGCUGUUUAGUCAGUUUUGUAUCUAAGAUCUUCAUAGUAUCCAUCACAGCAGCUGUUCCACUCUGUAAGAUCGUCGAUAAGUGUUUGAAGCCCAGCCUUUGUUUUUGGCAAACAAAGCCUCUUUCUCGCUAGUUGUGGUGGAGCUUUCUUCUUUAUUGGGAUGGAGAUGCUGAGGGCAGAGUGAUCGCUGACUACCUCAGGCACCACCGUACACUGUCCACUAAUCCCCUGACCAUUGAGUACACAAGCGUAAUGAAGCCCGCCAGCCUUCACGUGCGUCACACAGGCACACAGGCACACAGACACACAGACACACAGACACACAGGCACACAGGCACACAGACACACAGACACACAGGCACACAGGCACACAGGGGGCCCCUAACAAGUGUGCUUCAGGAUGAUCUUGCACGAAAUGAUAGAAAGCCUUUCCAUUGCUAUUGUCAAAGCCAUUUAAAUGUCCUAGUUUUGCAUGCCUUGCGUUGAGGUCUCCAGCUAUCAGUGUUACAUCAUUGUAUAUGCACUCAGGAAUGUUACUUACAUUGAAACUGUUCUUUGAUGUAUACAGAUUUACUAUAUUUAAUACACCACUGUCUA